GUUCAUUGCCUAUGCAGUGUGCAUUGGUGUUGAUGCACUUCUGCUGGGCUGCUUAUCCUGUAACAUGAAUCUUGUCAACAAUGCCUAAUCUUAGCCUUCUGCCAGUGGAGGUGCAGAUUAGUUUUCUGCAGCCUUAGACUGGAAAGAAGCUCCCUCUGGAAGGGAUCCAACCUCAUGGCAAGAACAAGCUGGCUCUAAGAGUGUCUUUGGGCUACAUCCACCUUAGGUCCUGCUGCUUUGAGGAAAACGAAAGUUUUAGCUCCAUAGGAGUGAUGAAGGAGCAAAUCAGUGACAUAAUGGUCAGAUUUGGUGGCCUCAACCCAGGUGCCUUUGGAUGUAAGCUCCCAUUUGCAGGGUUAACCAGGGACUGAACCGUGGACUGCUGCUGCCUGGACUGCUGCAGUACUCACUGGUGGAGAGGUCUUCAGUCUCCUGCAAAGUUUAACCUGUCCUUCCAAAAGCAGCCUGCUACCAGCGCAAUGAAAUCCAG